rnacentral:rRNA from 1 species
AUGCAGACGCCGAAGCGCCGUGCCGAGAUCCAGCUGGAGAUCCGGGCGAGACAAGCCGCGCGCGCCACCGUCAUCGCUACCCAGCUGCCUCCGGACUCAGCGGAGCCGGAGGAGGAGCAGCCAAGGGAAGAGGACAAGGAGGAGAUGGCUCGGAUGGAGGUGGCGGAGGUAGAGCAGCAGGCGCCGGAGCAGCAGCUGUCGGGCUUCAAUAUGGAGCAGGCGGAGAUGGAGUUCACCGUCGCUCAGUCUGACGAGAUGGCGGAGCAGCAGGCCAUCCUGGAGUCUAUCCAAGAUGAGGCCUAUGUGGAGGCCAGCCGGGCAGAGGAGGCCGAAGCGGAUGCGCCGGAGCUGCAGCUGCCACCCAUGCUACCGGAACCGGGCACGGAGAUCGUCGACAUCUUCAAUGAUGAGUAUCUAGGUGAUCGAUGUAUGCCCGCGGACGCGCCCGGGCGCGUUUGCCAAGAUUUGCCAAGUCCAACUGUAGAUGCUCUAAAGGGUGAAGGCUUGGGCUCCGGUGGGAUCUUGGACGCCUCUCUAGCCACGGGAUGUCGAUCUUUGUCAAGAGAAUAUAGAGGAAGGCCCCCGCCGCAGCCACGCUCCUCCGUCACCGAGGCCAUGGAAGGGGCGGGAGGGCCCGUGGUCGCGGAUCUACGCCGGGACAUUGCGGCGGCGUGCGAGCAGCGGAUCACGCAGGACCGUGCCCACACCAUGGCCACCUAUGCCUUCUCCGACGCCGUCCUCUCCGCUCGCUCGCUCGCCGAGCAUAGCGUCGCGCACCGAGGAACGCGCCUCCCCCGACGUCAUUCCUCUUCCGUUCAGUGUUUCCUGGUUAGCACUGAUGUUCCAAACCUAGGUGUACUCAUGUGCUUCUCAUGGAUAUGUCUUUCAGGUGUACAUCAAGAACCAGAAGACAAGGGCGUACUCCAAGCGUUUCCAAGUCCAUUUCAAGAGAAGGCGUUGGGGAAGACCGACUAUAGGGCCAGGCUGAGACCAACCCGGACAAGAACAAGUACAAUACCCCCAAGUACCACCAACAAGGAUGUCACUGCCCAAAUUGUUUACGCUACCAUUGCUGGUGAUGUCAUGAUGGCCGCUGCCUACUCCGAUGAGUUGCCUUUCUAUGGUCUUGAAGUUGGCCUCACCAACUAUGCUACAGCCUACUGCAGCGGUCUGCUUUUGCGCCAUAGAAGGUCGUUCCCCUGCUCCCUCCUCUGCCUUCCCCCAUCAUGGCUCCAUGCAAGCACUGGGGCAAAGGGCUCUGUCAAGCAGGUCUCCAUGUAG